GACCUCGGAUCAGACAGGGA
rnacentral:rRNA from 1 species